CACGUAGGGCGCGAGCGUUGUCCGGAAUUAUUGGGCGUAAAGAGCUCGUAGGCGGCUUGUCGCGUCGACUGUGAAAUCCCGAGGCUCAACUUCGGGCUUGCAGUCGAUACGGGCAGGCUAGAGUUCGGCAGGGGAGACUGGAAUUCCUGGUGUAGCGGUGAAAUGCGCAGAUAUCAGGAGGAACACCGGUGGCGAAGGCGGGUCUCUGGGCCGAUACUGACACUGAGGAGCGAAAGCGUGGGGAGCGAACAGG
rnacentral:rRNA from 1 species